AACGUAGGAGCCAAGCGUUAUCCGAAUUCACUGGGCGUAAAGCGCGUGCAGGCGGCUGGGUAAGUUGGAUGUGAAAUCUCCUGGCUCAACUGGGAGAGGCCGUUCAAUACUACCUGGCUUGAGGGCGACAGAGGGAGGUGGAAUUCCGGGUGUAGUGGUGAAAUGCGUAGAUAUCCGGAGGAACACCAGAGGCGAAGGCGGCCUCCUGGGUCGUACCUGACGCUGAGAUGCGAAAGCUAGGGGAGCAAACGGG
rnacentral:rRNA from 1 species